AGAGUUUGAUCCUGGCUCAGGAUGAACGCUAGCGACAGGCCUAACACAUGCAAGUCGAGGGGCAGCGAAGAGGUAGCAAUACCUCUGUCGGCGACCGGCGCACGGGUGAGUAACACGUAUGCAAUCCACCUGUAACAGGGGGAUAACCCGGAGAAAUCCGGACUAAUACCCCAUAAUAUGGGCGCUCCGCAUGGAGGGCUCAUUAAAGAAAGCAAUUUUGGUUACAGACGAGCAUGCGCUCCAUUAGCCAGUUGGCGGGGUAACGGCCCACCAAAGCGACGAUGGAUAGGGGUUCUGAGAGGAAGGUCCCCCACAUUGGAACUGAGACACGGUCCAAACUCCUACGGGAGGCAGCAGUGAGGAAUAUUGGUCAAUGGUCGGCAGACUGAACCAGCCAAGUCGCGUGAGGGAAGACGGCCCUACGGGUUGUAAACCUCUUUUGUCGGAGAGUAAAGUACGCUACGUGUAGUGUAUUGCAAGUAUCCGAAGAAAAAGCAUCGGCUAACUCCGUGCCAGCAGCCGCGGUAAUACGGAGGAUGCAAGCGUUAUCCGGAUUUAUUGGGUUUAAAGGGUGCGUAGGCGGCACGCCAAGUCAGCGGUGAAAUUUUCGGGCUCAACCCGGAGUGUGCCGUUGAAACUGGCGAGCUAGAGUGCACAAGAGGCAGGCGGAAUGCGUGGUGUAGCGGUGAAAUGCAUAGAUAUCACGCAGAACCCCGAUUGCGAAGGCAGCCUGCUAGGGUGCGACAGACGCUGAGGCACGAAAGCGUGGGUAUCGAACAGGAUUAGAUACCCUGGUAGUCCACGCAGUAAACGAUGAAUACUAACUGUUUGCGAUACAAUGUAAGCGGUACAGCGAAAGCGUUAAGUAUUCCACCUGGGGAGUACGCCGGCAACGGUGAAACUCAAAGGAAUUGACGGGGGCCCGCACAAGCGGAGGAACAUGUGGUUUAA
rnacentral:rRNA from 1 species